GGUUAAGCGACUAAGCGUACACGGUGGAUGCCCUGGCAGUCAGAGGCGAUGAAGGACGUGCUAAUCUGCGAUAAGCGUCGGUAAGGUGAUAUGAACCGUUAUAACCGGCGAUUUCCGAAUGGGGAAACCCAGUGUGAUUCGUCACACUAUCAUUAACUGAAUCCAUAGGUUAAUGAGGCGAACCGGGGGAACUGAAACAUCUAAGUACCCCGAGGAAAAGAAAUCAACCGAGAUUCCCCCAGUAGCGGCGAGCGAACGGGGAGCAGCCCAGAGCCUGAAUCAGUGUGUGUGUUAGUGGAAGCGUCUGGAAAGGCGCGCGAUACAGGGUGACAGCCCCGUACACAAAAAUGCACAUGCUGUGAGCUCGAUGAGUAGGGCGGGACACGUGGUAUCCUGUCUGAAUAUGGGGGGACCAUCCUCCAAGGCUAAAUACUCCUGACUGACCGAUAGUGAACCAGUACCGUGAGGGAAAGGCGAAAAGAACCCCGGCGAGGGGAGUGAAAAAGAACCUGAAACCGUGUACGUACAAGCAGUGGGAGCACGCUUAGGCGUGUGACUGCGUACCUUUUGUAUAAUGGGUCAGCGACUUAUAUUCUGUAGCAAGGUUAACCGAAUAGGGGAGCCGAAGGGAAACCGAGUCUUAACUGGGCGUUAAGUUGCAGGGUAUAGACCCGAAACCCGGUGAUCUAGCCAUGGGCAGGUUGAAGGUUGGGUAACACUAACUGGAGGACCGAACCGACUAAUGUUGAAAAAUUAGCGGAUGACUUGUGGCUGGGGGUGAAAGGCCAAUCAAACCGGGAGAUAGCUGGUUCUCCCCGAAAGCUAUUUAGGUAGCGCCUCGUGAAUUCAUCUCCGGGGGUAGAGCACUGUUUCGGCAAGGGGGUCAUCCCGACUUACCAACCCGAUGCAAACUGCGAAUACCGGAGAAUGUUAUCACGGGAGACACACGGCGGGUGCUAACGUCCGUCGUGAAGAGGGAAACAACCCAGACCGCCAGCUAAGGUCCCAAAGUCAUGGUUAAGUGGGAAACGAUGUGGGAAGGCCCAGACAGCCAGGAUGUUGGCUUAGAAGCAGCCAUCAUUUAAAGAAAGCGUAAUAGCUCACUGGUCGAGUCGGCCUGCGCGGAAGAUGUAACGGGGCUAAACCAUGCACCGAAGCUGCGGCAGCGACGCUUAUGCGUUGUUGGGUAGGGGAGCGUUCUGUAAGCCUGCGAAGGUGUGCUGUGAGGCAUGCUGGAGGUAUCAGAAGUGCGAAUGCUGACAUAAGUAACGAUAAAGCGGGUGAAAAGCCCGCUCGCCGGAAGACCAAGGGUUCCUGUCCAACGUUAAUCGGGGCAGGGUGAGUCGACCCCUAAGGCGAGGCCGAAAGGCGUAGUCGAUGGGAAACAGGUUAAUAUUCCUGUACUUGGUGUUACUGCGAAGGGGGGACGGAGAAGGCUAUGUUGGCCGGGCGACGGUUGUCCCGGUUUAAGCGUGUAGGCUGGUUUUCCAGGCAAAUCCGGAAAACUAAGGCUGAGGCGUGAUGACGAGGCACUACGGUGCUGAAGCAACAAAUGCCCUGCUUCCAGGAAAAGCCUCUAAGCAUCAGGUAACAUCAAAUCGUACCCCAAACCGACACAGGUGGUCAGGUAGAGAAUACCAAGGCGCUUGAGAGAACUCGGGUGAAGGAACUAGGCAAAAUGGUGCCGUAACUUCGGGAGAAGGCACGCUGAUAUGUAGGUGAAGCGACUUGCUCGUGGAGCUGAAAUCAGUCGAAGAUACCAGCUGGCUGCAACUGUUUAUUAAAAACACAGCACUGUGCAAACACGAAAGUGGACGUAUACGGUGUGACGCCUGCCCGGUGCCGGAAGGUUAAUUGAUGGGGUCAGCGCAAGCGAAGCUCUUGAUCGAAGCCCCGGUAAACGGCGGCCGUAACUAUAACGGUCCUAAGGUAGCGAAAUUCCUUGUCGGGUAAGUUCCGACCUGCACGAAUGGCGUAAUGAUGGCCAGGCUGUCUCCACCCGAGACUCAGUGAAAUUGAACUCGCUGUGAAGAUGCAGUGUACCCGCGGCAAGACGGAAAGACCCCGUGAACCUUUACUAUAGCUUGACACUGAACAUUGAGCCUUGAUGUGUAGGAUAGGUGGGAGGCUUGGAAGUGUGGACGCCAGUCUGCAUGGAGCCGACCUUGAAAUACCACCCUUUAAUGUUUGAUGUUCUAACGUUGACCCGUAAUCCGGGUUGCGGACAGUGUCUGGUGGGUAGUUUGACUGGGGCGGUCUCCUCCUAAAGAGUAACGGAGGAGCACGAAGGUUGGCUAAUCCUGGUCGGACAUCAGGAGGUUAGUGCAAUGGCAUAAGCCAGCUUGACUGCGAGCGUGACGGCGCGAGCAGGUGCGAAAGCAGGUCAUAGUGAUCCGGUGGUUCUGAAUGGAAGGGCCAUCGCUCAACGGAUAAAAGGUACUCCGGGGAUAACAGGCUGAUACCGCCCAAGAGUUCAUAUCGACGGCGGUGUUUGGCACCUCGAUGUCGGCUCAUCACAUCCUGGGGCUGAAGUAGGUCCCAAGGGUAUGGCUGUUCGCCAUUUAAAGUGGUACGCGAGCUGGGUUUAGAACGUCGUGAGACAGUUCGGUCCCUAUCUGCCGUGGGCGCUGGAGAACUGAGGGGGGCUGCUCCUAGUACGAGAGGACCGGAGUGGACGCAUCACUGGUGUUCGGGUUGUCAUGCCAAUGGCACUGCCCGGUAGCUAAAUGCGGAAGAGAUAAGUGCUGAAAGCAUCUAAGCACGAAACUUGCCCCGAGAUGAGUUCUCCCUGACUCCUUGAGAGUCCUGAAGGAACGUUGAAGACGACGACGUUGAUAGGCCGGGUGUGUAAGCGCAGCGAUGCGUUGAGCUAACCGGUACUAAUGAACCGUGAGGCUUAACCUU
rnacentral:rRNA from 1 species